GGUUGUAUGGCCGAGCGGUCUAAGGCGUUCGACUCAAGUGUUAAAAUCACUUCCUUGCGAAGAACGCAGGGUUCGAAUCUGGUAACAGGCAGGAGUUCGAAUCUCCUUGCAACCA
rfam:Tortispora caseinolytica NRRL Y-17796 unplaced genomic scaffold CANCAscaffold_2, whole genome shotgun sequence.